rnacentral:rRNA from 1 species
GACGGAGGGCGCAAGCGUUGUUCGGAAUUACUGGGCGUAAAGCGCGGGCAGGUGGCCCGUUAAGUCUGCGGUGAAAUCCCGGAGCUCAACUCCGGAUAUGCCGCGGAUACUGGCGGGCUAGAGACCAGUAGAGGCGAGUGGAAUUCCAGGUGUAGCGGUGGAAUGCGUAGAUAUCUGGAAAGAACACCGGUGGCGAAGGCGGC